AAAGUGGCGAACGGCUGAGUAACACGUGGGCAACCUGCCCUUUGCACUGGGAUAGCCUCGGGAAACCGAGGUUAAUACCGGAUACUCCAUAUUUGUCGCAUGGCGAAUAUGGGAAAAGCUCCGGCGGCAAAGGAUGGGCCCGCGGCCUGUUAGCUAGUUGGUGGGGUAGUGGCCUACCAAGGCAAUGAUGGGUAGCCGGGUUGAGAGACCGACCGGCCAGAUUGGGACUGAGACACGGCCCAGACUCCUACGGGAGGCAGCAGCC
rnacentral:rRNA from 1 species